rnacentral:tRNA from 1 species
GAGGGUAUAGCUCAGUGGUAGAGUGCAUGCUUAGCAUGCACGAGGUCCUGGAUUCCACUCCUAGCACCUCCA